AUACGGAGGGUGCAAGCGUUAAUCGGAAUUACUGGGCGUAAAGCGCGCGUAGGUGGUUAUGUAAGUCGGGUGUGAAAGCCCCGGGCUCAACCUGGGAACUGCAUCCGAUACUGCAUAGCUAGAGUCUGGUAGAGGGAAGUGGAAUUCCACAUGUAGCGGUGAAAUGCGUAGAUAUGUGGAGGAACACCAAUGGCGAAGGCAGCUUCCUGGACCAAGACUGACACUGAGGUGCGAAAGCGUGGGGAGCAAACAGGAUUAGAAACCCCAGUAGUCC
rnacentral:rRNA from 1 species